GACGUAGGUGGCGAACGUUAUCCGGAAUUAUUGGGCGUAAAGGGUGCGUAGGCGGCAUGAUAAGUUAUUGGCGGCAAAUCGAGGCUCAACCUCGUGGAAACUGAUAAUACUGUCUUGCUUGAGUGCAGAAGAGGUUAACGGAACUCCAUGUGGAGCGGUAAAAUGUGUAGAUAUAUGGAAGAACAUCAAUAACGGCGAAGGCAGUUAACUAUUCUGUUACUGACGUUGAGGCACGAAAGCGUGGGGAGCAAACAGGG
rnacentral:rRNA from 1 species